rnacentral:rRNA from 1 species
UGGGGAAUAUUGGACAAUGGGCGCAAGCCUGAUCCAGCAAUGCCGCGUGUGUGAAGAAGGCCUUCGGGUUGUAAAGCACUUUUAUCAGGAGCGAAACGCUGUCGGCUAAUACCCGGCGGAACUGACGGUACCUGAGGAAUAAGCACCGGCUAACUUCGUGCCAGCAGCCGCGGUAAUACGAAGGGUGCAAGCGUUAAUCGGAAUUACUGGGCGUAAAGCGUGCGUAGGCGGUUUCUUAAGUCUGCUGUGAAAUCCCCGGGCUCAACCUGGGAAUGGCAGUGGAUACUGGGAGGCUAGAGUGUGUCAGAGGGUGGUGGAAUUCCCGGUGUAGCGGUGAAAUGCGUAGAGAUCGGGAGGAACAUCAGUGGCGAAGGCGGCCACCUGGGACAACACUGACGCUGAGGCACGAAAGCGUGGGGAGCAAACAGGAUUAGAUACCCUGGUAGUCCACGCCGUAAACGUUGGGCGCAUAGAUGUGGGGACCAUUCCACGGUUUCCGUGUCGCAGCUAACGCAUUAAGCGCCCCGCCUGGGGAGUACGGCCGCAAGGCUAAAACUCAAAUGAAUUGACGGGGUCAUAGCUGUUUCCUG